AAGUUGCUUGAAUAACAUGGUUAUCUGACAUAAUUAACCUAACACAUUUAAAUCUAGCAUGAUUAUGAUAGUUAAAACAUUUAAAAUGUUCUCAAUUUUUUUAAUAUCUUUUUAUAUUAUAAAAAAUAUUAAUAUUUACCCGCUAUAUCUCUAUUACUCUCUAAGCAGUCCCCACGUCUUAAACAAUAAACAUACGUCACAUGCACUCUUGUUUUUUAAUAUAUUUUGUGCUCAAUAACUCUUAAAGACUCUAUCGGCCACCUUAAAAGUUUACUCCGACCGACCAUAUGGUGGAUGAUCUCUAGCAUUAGGCCAGAAUUCCAUUCACACGGGGGAUUUUUUAAUUCUUAAUUGACGCUACCAUGUUCUAUAACCAUCUUCGACGGAUUUUCCAGAGACUGCAUUUUGUAUAUUCUCAUUGUUGUAUGCGAGCGAAUGUUUUUAAUUAUACUUUUUUUCCCGGCCAACGAAAUUGGGAUUCAAUUUACUAGAACCAUGGUAAUAUCCCCCUCCCUGACGUUUUUCCAUCUCUCACCGAAUCCCAGCUUAAGAAAAAACUUGACUGGUUAGGCGUAAAGAAAAACAAGAAGAAAAAACAUGAUCUCGUACUGACACAACGACAUGGUCGGCGGUGAGAUGGACCUCUUUCUGCUCCCUCUCAGCCCCUUGCCUUCGCUUAAUCUCCUAUUUCUGCCCAAUGAUCCGCUACAAAAGCCACCAAGAGAGACAUGAAGAAUCGAGAUGAAAGGCAGAGAAUCUCCUUUUCUUGAUAUUUACAAGCAGUGAGAUCUCUCUACAGGUUAGAUUUGUUAAAAGUGGAAGCGAAUAUAUCCUCUCAAUCAUAACUCAUACCUGAGAUGGGUGAGCUUGAAUUCGAGAGAGGACGGAGAGACCUCAAAGAUAUCUUCCUCUCUAACACACACAAAAAUGGGUCUCUGCUUGCAAACAUUUCAAGAUAUAAAAAUUAAAAUACCAUGUUCGUUGAGGGAAUGCUCCGGACCUUGUACCGCGGAUGCAGUCAAGGCGGUUUUCUCUGUAAUGUUAUAGAUC
rnacentral:lncRNA from 1 species